GCCUAAAGCGUCCGUAGCCGGCUUUGUAAGUUUUCGGUUAAAUCUAUAUGCUCAACAUAUAGGCUGCCGGGAAUACUGCAAAGCUAGGGAGUGGGAGAGGUAGACGGUACUCGGUAGGAAGGGGUAAAAUCCUUUGAUCUAUCGAUGACCACCAGUGGCGAAGGCGGUCUACCAGAACACGUCCGACGGUGAGGGAUGAAAGCUGGGGGAGCAAACCGGAUUAGAUACCCGGGUAGUCCCAGCUGUAAACUAUGCAAACUCAGUGAUGCAUUGGCUUGUGGCCAAUGCAGUGCCGCAGAGAAGUCGUUAAGUUUGCCGCCUGGGAAGUACGUACGCAAGUAUGAAACUUAAAGGAAUUGGCGGGGGAGCACCACAAGGGGUGAAGCCUGCGGUUCAAUUGGAGUCAACGCCAGAAAUCUUACCCGGAGAGACAGCAGAAUGAAGGUCAAGCUGAAGACUUUACCAGACAAGCUGAGAAGUGGUGCAUGGCCGUCGCCAGCUCGUGCCGUGAGAUGUCCUGUUAAGUCAGGUAACGAGCGAGAUCCCUGCCUCUAGUUGCCACCAUUACUCUCAGGAGUAGUGGGGCGAAUUAGCGGGACUGCCGCAGUUAAUGCGGAGGAAGGAGGGGGCCACGGCAGGUCAGUAUGCCCCGAA
rnacentral:rRNA from 1 species